rnacentral:rRNA from 1 species
UACGUAGGUGGCAAGCGUUGUCCGGAAUUAUUGGGCGUAAAGCGCGCGCAGGCGGUUCUUUAAGUCUGAUGUGAAAGCCCACGGCUCAACCGUGGAGGGUCAUUGGAAACUGGAGAACUUGAGUACAGAAGAGGAAAGUGGAAUUCCAAGUGUAGCGGUGAAAUGCGUAGAGAUUUGGAGGAACACCAGUGGCGAAGGCGACUUUCUGGUCUGUAACUGACACUGAGGCGCGAAAGCGUGGGGAGCAAACAGG